rnacentral:rRNA from 1 species
GGGCCCGCACAAGCGGUGGAGUAUGUGGUUUAAUUCGAUGCAACGCGAAGAACCUUACCAGGGUUUGACAUCCUGCGAAUCUCUUGGAAACAGGAGAGUGCCUUCGGGAACGCAGUGACAGGUGGUGCAUGGCUGUCGUCAGCUCGUGUCGUGAGAUGUUGGGUUAAGUCCCGCAACGAGCGCAACCCACGUCUUUAGUUGCCAGCAUUUAGUUGGGCACUCUAGAAAGACCGCCGGUGAUAAACCGGAGGAAGGUGUGGAUGACGUCAAGUCAUCAUGCCCCUUACACCCUGGGCUACACACGUACUACAAUGCUACGGACAAAGGGCAGCAAACUCGCGAGAGCUAGCAAAUCCCAUAAACCGUGGCUCAGUUCAGAUCGUAGGCUGCAACUCGCCUACGUGAAGUAGGAAUCGCUAGUAAUCGC